AAUCAACGCUGGCGGCGUGCCUAACACAUGCAAGUCGCACGAGAAAGGGUAGCAAUACCUGAGUAAAGUGGCGCACGGGUGAGUAACACGUGAAUCAUCUACCUCCGAGUGGGGAAUAACUGAGAGAAAUCUUAGCUAAUACCGCAUAACACUUACGAGUCAAAGCAGCAAUGCGCUUGGAGAGGAGUUCGCGGCAGAUUAGUUAGUUGGCGGGGUAAUGGCCCACCAAGACGAUGAUCUGUAUCCGGCCUGAGAGGGCGCACGGACACACUGGAACUGAAACACGGUCCAGACUCCUACGGGAGGCAGCAGUGGGGAAUUUUGCGCAAUGGGGGAAACCCUGACGCAGCAACGCCGCGUGGAGGAUGAAAUCCCUUGGGAUGUAAACUCCUUUCGAUAGGGAAGAUAAUGACGGUACCUAUAGAAGAAGCCCCGGCUAACUUCGUGCCAGCAGCCGCGGUAAUACGAGGGGGGCAAGCGUUGUUCGGAUUUAUUGGGCGUAAAGGGUGCGUAGGCGGUUUGGCAAGUCUUGUGUGAAAUCUUUGGGCUCAACCCAAAGCCUGCACAAGAAACUGCCGGGCUUGAGUAUGGGAGAGGUGAGUGGAAUUUCCGGUGUAGCGGUGAAAUGCGUAGAUAUCGGAAGGAACACCUGUGGCGAAAGCGGCUCACUGGACCAUUACUGACGCUGAGGCACGAAAGCUAGGGGAGCAAACAGGAUUAGAUACCCUGGUAGUCCUAGCCCUAAACGAUGAUUGCUUGAUGUGGCAGGUACCCAAUCCUGCCGUGUCGAAGCUAACGCGAUAAGCAAUCCGCCUGGGGAGUACGGUCGCAAGGCUGAAACUCAAAGGAAUUGACGGGGGCCCGCGCAAGCGGUGGAGCAUGUGGUUUAAUUCGACGCAACGCGAAGAACCUUACCUGGGCUCGAAAUGUAGUGGAAUCCGGCAGAAACGUCGGCGUCUAGCAAUAGACCGCUAUAUAGGUGCUGCAUGGCUGUCGUCAGCUCGUGUCGUGAGAUGUUGGGUUAAGUCCCGCAACGAGCGCAACCCUUAUCUACAGUUGCUACCAUUUAGUUGAGCACUCUGUCGAAACCGCCUCGGAUAACGGGGAGGAAGGUGGGGAUGACGUCAAGUCCUCAUGGCCUUUAUGUCCAGGGCUACACACGUGCUACAAUGGCCGGUACAAACCGCUGCAAACCCGCGAGGGGGAGCUAAUCGGAAAAAGCCGGCCUCAGUUCGGAUUGGAGUCUGCAACUCGACUCCAUGAAGCUGGAAUCGCUAGUAAUCGUGGAUCAGCAUGCCACGGUGAAUACGUUCCCGGGCCU
rnacentral:rRNA from 1 species